rnacentral:rRNA from 1 species
CAAUAGCGUAUAUUAAAGUUGUUGCAGUUAAAAAGCUCGUAGUUGGAUUUCGGGGUGGCCUGGCUGGUCCGCCGCAAGGUGAGUACUGGUCAGCCGCCCUUCCUCUCGAAAGCCCCGACUGCUCUUUACUGCAGUGGUCGGGUAGUUCGGGACGUUUACUUUGAAAAAAUUAGAGUGUUCAAGGCAGGCUAUCGCCUGAAUACAUUAGCAUGGAAUAAUGGAAGAGGACCUCGGUCCUAUUUUGUUGGUUUCUAGGGCCGAAGUAAUGAUUAAGAGGGACAGUUGGGGGCAUUCGUAUUUAAUUGUCAGAGGCGAAAUUCUUGGAUUUAUGAAAGACGAACUAGUGCGAAAGCAUUUGCCAAGGAUGUUUUCAUUAA